AGGUGAAAACAAACCGGUUGAUGUUGUUGUCGCUGCCAUUGGUCAGGUGGCUGGCGCUAUACAGAACAUGGUUGUUGAUAUUUCCGAAUUAUUAUCAUAUCAACAGCAAGAUAAAUCUUUGGUUUCAGCUUCGGAUACUGAUCAGGAAAAACAAAAGCG